AUGGCGUGCUAUGUACGAUCAAACUGUCGCUCCCUCUCAGAAGGGUUGCUUGCCAGAACUUUCCUGGCGUAUCCAUUUGAGAGUUCUGGUUUCAGUUCAUUACUGAUGAUAUGAACAUGUUUGUUUCAUUUCAGGCCUCGAUACUGUCGAAACACGUUCCAAAGUCUGAAAUGCCAAGGUAUUAUUUUGUCCUCGAUUUAUUUAUAAACAAAAAGGACGUGGCUGUGAUAUGGUUCUCUGGAUCAAGAAAAAAUUACGUAAACACUAGAAAAUAAUGGCGAAUUUAUUUCCUGAAAUACCUCCGAAGCUCCCUCUCCAUCCACAUUGCCUUGCUCGUUGACAUCUAUUCUCGUGUGAUUAUCCCGUUCCUACGUGCUGACGCCAGAUUAAACGAUUUCCUCUUGCUCAGGAGCGAAUAGCUGCAGAUCCUGGCAGGUGACUACUCUCUUCGGGUGCCUCUGGGGUAUGCAUCCUCGUUGACUUACUCACCUGAUGUGCGUUGACUCCCUCCUGACCAGGCAUCAUUUACCGAAUUCAGCAAAUAAACGCAUCUUCUGUUUUAAUCCGCGGCAUACAAAAAACGCCAAAAAAACAGAAGUUUGCUGCACUACGCUCGAUGAUUCAUUGACCUCUUUGGGCUUUCUUGCUUCCCAUGUAAUAAAUAAUGCUUGGAUCGUCCUCUUUGCAGUUAAAAACCAUGGGUCGAGCAGCGCAGGGGAAGCUUCACGGUUGAGAACCAGAUCCGCCUCAAGAACAGAGCGAUGGUUUCCAUGGGAACCUCUCCGUCGGCCCCCAUGGCGCUGGAAGCGGCCCAGCGGGGAUCCGUGAGUACGAACGUCUACCUGAGUUUAUAUCCUGUAAUAUCUAUGAGAAGAAUGGUCGGAUCGAAGAAGCCCCGGUUCAUCGCCGCAUCCCCCGUGCAGACCUGGGCAGCAGUGACUGGUGACGCAAUGAAUGCGGC
rnacentral:lncRNA from 1 species